GCAGCGAGCGGUGGGGUGUGGGAAUGAGGAAGGAUAGAGAAAGCAGUGCCUAGUUAAAUGUUAUUUUUUUCCUGUUACAGAGGUCUGGGGUCAUGUGCCCCAAAGAUGAAGUGGUGAAGAGGCUGCCCCACUGUGCAAAGAGCUUGCGGACUUGAGGGAGAAGCAGAAAACUGAGGGAUGAUGCUGUCCUGUUUAAGCCCAUUAAUGGAGCCAUGUGAAAACACACCCAGCAUGGGACUGUCAGCACCUAGGAAACUAAGGUAAGACUCUGUGGCUCAGUUCAAGUCAAUCAAUUGUCAAGAAAAACCUAGAGACCAGUAGGAUAUGAUCAAAGGGGAAGUUAGUUGUAAAGUAAAACUGUGGGUGAGGGUGAGAUAUGGCCAGGCUGCAGGGUUAGCACACCCUGGUCUCCAUUAUCAAAGGGAACAAAACUGAGCAGAUGAAAUUGAAUGAGGAAAUAAGUCUU
rnacentral:lncRNA from 1 species